rnacentral:rRNA from 1 species
AACGUACGCUGGCGGCACGCCUAACACAUGCAAGUCGAACGAAGUAGCAAUACUUAGUGGCAGACGGGUGAGUAACAUGUAGGUAUCUGCCCUUUGGCCUGGAAUAACACGAGGAAACUUGUGCUAAUACCGGAUAAGUCUUUACGGAGAAAGCUUUAUGCACCAUUGGAUGAGCCUGCACUUGAUUAGUUUGUUGGUGGGGUAAUGGCCUACCAAGACUGUGAUCAAUAGCUGAUUUGAGAGGAUGAUCAGCCACAUUGGGACUGAGACACGGCCCAAACUCCUACGGGAGGCAGCAGUGGGGAAUCUUGCACAAUGGAGGAAACUCUGAUGCAGCGAUGCCGCGUGAGUGAAGAAGGCCCUUGGGUUGUAAAGCUCUUUCGUCGGGGAAGAAAAUGACUGUACCCGAAUAAGAAGGUCCGGCUAACUUCGUGCCAGCAGCCGCGGUAAUACGAAGGGACCUAGCGUAGUUCGGAAUUACUGGGCUUAAAGAGUUCGUAGGUGGUUGAAAAAGUUAGUGGUGAAAUCCCAGAGCUUAACUCUGGAACUGCCAUUAAAACUUUUCAGCUAGAGUAUGAUAGAGGAAAGCAGAAUUUCUAGUGUAGAGGUGAAAUUCGUAGAUAUUAGAAAGAAUACCAAUCGCGAAGGCAGCUUUCUGGAUCAUUACUGACACUGAGGAACGAAAGCAUGGGUAGCGAAGAGGAUUAGAUACCCUCGUAGUCCAUGCCGUAAACGAUGUGUGUUAGACGUUGGAAAUUUAUUUUCAGUGUCGCAGGGAAACCGAUAAACACACCGCCUGGGGAGUACGACCGCAAGGUUAAAACUCAAAUGAAUUGACGGGGACCCGCACAAGUAGUGGAGCAUGUGGUUUAAUUCGAAGAUACGCGCAGAACCUUACCAACACUUGACAUGUUCGUCGCGACUCUAAGAGAUUAGAGUUUUCGGUUCGGCCGGACGAAACACAGGUGCUGCAUGGCUGUCGUCAGCUCGUGUCGUGAGAUGUUGGGUUAAGUCCCGCAACGAGCGCAACCCUCACUUUUAGUUGCCAUCAUUAAGUUGGGCACUCUGAAAGAACUGCCAGUGAUAAGCUGGAGGAAGGUGGGGAUGACGUCAAGUCCUCAUGGCCCUUACGUGUUGGGCUACACACGUGCUACAAUGGUAUCUACAACAGGAAGCAAGACUGCGAAGUUAAGCAAAUCCCUAAAAGAUACCUCAGUUCGGAUUGAACUCUGCAACUCGAGUGCAUGAAGCUGGAAUUACUAGUAAUCGUGGAUCAGCGUGCCACGGUGAAUGCGUUCCCGGGUCU